UCAAAUUUAGAAGAAAGAUAAAAAUUUUGGUGUGUGUGGAUACGUUUCUCAAAUUAAUUUCUCGCAAAAACAAUAUGACUGUUAAAUUAUUGUGGAAUUGCGCUAGGAUAAUCUUGAUCUCGGGAUUGUCUUUCGGCGUAUAGAUUAGAGAUUGCGCGAAGCACGAAAUCUGGACAAAUAGGAGUUGAAAGUAAAUGAGCAGUAAAUUGAUGAUGAACGUAUGGUUUACAUAUCUUUCAUCGGGAUAUUGGGAGCGGCGGCUGUGUUUAUCUGCCUGAGCUUGGGCAGGCAGUACCUCUCCGGCAAAGAGGACGACGAGGGUUGCUGCGUCCAACGAACGUGCGGAAAAUGAUAAGGAACCUUUAACGACCACUGCCAAUAAAUACGGCAGUAGAUUCUUUGGGACAAGUCAAAGAAUAUUCUAGAAGAUGAUUUGCAUGAGCUUUGCAACUGCCAUUACAGCCGCCGGCUUCAUCGUCAUCGGUCCACUACUCUGCGAGAAAUUCCUCCACUGUUUCAUGAAGUCCAAAAAGUGACCGUCUAGUUUCGUUAUCUAAGGUCAAUGGUGAUUUAUGUAAAAUUUCGUGUGAUGUAAUAAAUGAAAUUGCUCAAAAUUAGGAAACAAUUUUUAUUUCUACACUAAGACAUACACCGUAAUAUCACUUGACUGAUUCCGCUAGUCUAACAAUAAUAACAUUGAGCGCAUACGUAUCCUAUUA